AAAGGAUAAUAUUAUAUGGGUGCCUUUUUUAGGGAUAAUAGGGAAGUUUGGUGAAAAUCCAGCACAGCCCCCGCUACUGUAAGUACUACUGAUAAAUCAAUAUGCCACCAAUUAGCUUGGGAAGGCGAUUUAUUGGGAAAUGUAUGAGUCAGGAAACCUGCCUAUAUAUUAGUUAAUUG
rnacentral:ncRNA from 2 species